GUUGGCUACGGUGACCUAGUUCCCGUCGCACCUAUCGGAAAACUGGUCGGUUCCCUGUGCGCCAUAGUGGGCGUGCUGGUUCUUGCCCUUCCUGUACCCGUCAUAGUAGCCAAC
rfam:Trichuris muris Edinburgh genomic scaffold, scaffold76